AUCUGUAAUCUGUAAUCUGUAUAAUAAAUUCUGCCAGUCAAGGCACACCUCCAAUUAUAGCUGGAGUGACAUCCACCACCACGAAUAUAUAUAUAAUUAUCACACAAAUAAUGGUUCCAUCCACCGGAAUAUUAUAUACACAAAUGUCAAUUUAUACUAUACGCAAUAGGCAAUUUUAAAAUCUAAAAUUAUCUAAAUAAGAA
rnacentral:lncRNA from 1 species